rnacentral:miRNA from 1 species
GACGUCGAAUAUCGACGUCAUAAACACCAAAGUUGAUCGUGUUUAUGACGUCGAAUAUCGACGUCAUAAACACCAAAGUUGAUCGUGUUUAUGACGUCGAAUAUCGACGUCAUAAACACCAAAUUUGAUCGUGUUUAUGGCGUCGAAUAUCGACGUCAUAAACACCAAAGUUGAUCGUGUUUAUGACUUCAAAUAUCGACGUCAUAAACACAAAGUUGAUAGUGUUUAUGACGUCGAAUAUCGACGUC